CUUGGAGAAUAACAAUCUCUGAUGUCUGCUAAUUACAGAAAUGCUUUCAGAGCUCUGCUUUCAUUCAUCCUGACAAUGACCAGGGAAGAACCACUGACAAGAGUUGAGGCCAGAGCUGGGAAGUUAACCAUCUCAUCUUGAGGAAGAACCUGGGAGAAGCCAGCCCCUUACCCUCAGGCUGACCUGGUUUAAGCCUUUCUUCUGCCAAGGUCACCAGCAGCCCAGGGAGGCACAGCCUGAACCUACGCACAAGGAAGCACCAAGCAAACCUCAAAUGAGGAACACUGAAUUACAAGAAAAAGAGGUGGGGAGGUCUACUCUGAAAAAAAUGUCAUGAAAGACAAAGAAGGUAAAGAAUUUCUCCAGAUUAAAGAAGCCUAAAGAGAUAGGACAGUUAAAUGCAAUGUGUGAUCCUAUUACACUAGAGGGAAAAAAUAUUCUAAGGACCCUAUGGAUAAAAUUGAAAUAUGGACAGUAGAUUAGAUAAAGGUAUUGUAUCAGUGUUAAAUUUCCCCAAACUGUAGUUAUGCAAGACAAUGUCCUUGUUCUUAGGAAAUACCCACUGAAGUAUUUACGGGUAAAGGGGCAUGAUGGCAGCCACACACUCUCUGUUUAGUUAAUAUACAAAUUAAAAUAUGUUUUCAAAUAGUGUGUGUGUAUAUAUAUAUAUAUGUAUGUAUAGAGAGAGAGUGCGCGCAAAUGGGGCAAAAUUUUAACAACUGAUGAAUCUGGGUAAGGUAUAUGAAGGAUCUCUUUUUUUUUUUCUUAUUUCACUCCAUGGAUGGUGAGACUAUGAAGGAUCUCUGGAAACUCUUCUGCAAGCUUGAAAUUAUUUCCAAA